AGGACCGUUCUUUUCGGCAUCUGGUCUGAGCUUGUAAGAAGCAGCUGUCUCCCUUCACGGCUUUAGAAAAGUCUGGAAGCAGGAAAUGAGAAAGACACCUAAGAAACCAUGGAGCCGACGUUUAAAGUCCACCUCAAACUAAGUUGGAAAGACACAUCCGGGGGAAGUGGCUCCAGCAGGAUUCUAACUUCAAAGGAGGCUCUUGUGGCAGAUAAUUUGGAGAAACCUUGCUCUGAAGGAGACACAGUACAUUUGCUGCUUGCUAGCUGCCUAUGACCCCGGCCAUGGAUGGUGUUGUCCACAUUCAAGGUGCGUCCCACCCCAGUUAAACAUCACACACAUGCCCAGAGUUGUCUUCUAGUGAUUCAAAUCCGGGCAAACUAACAAUGAAGACUGAUCAUCAAGAAGGGAAUGGAGGAAACUAACUAUGAACAACAGCCUCAUCUUUGGGAAUAGCAUCUCUGCUGUGCCACAGCCACAAUGUUCUGCCUCACCACAGAUCAUCAGCGCCGAGUGACAAGGCAAUGAAAUUGAAACCAUGCUCCAAAUAAAUCUUUCCCCUCUAAACUGUUUUCCCUAAGUAUUUUGUCACAGCAACCAGAAGCUCACACAGUGAGCCAGUCUGUGAUAGGUUGUUACAGCCCUCAAAAGACCCCAGUGAAAUUAAAGAGACGGGAAAAUAUUUUAGCAGAGGCUUUAUGGAAGAAGGCCCAGUGAGUACAUGCAAAUCAACGCCAUGGUGAGAAACUGCCACACUUCUCUUGGAACAUCUAGAGAGGGAAGAAAACGUGAUGGUACCAGAGUGGCUGAGAACACGGAGCACCUAAAAGUCUUCUACUGCUAGUGGACAUGCAAAAUGGCACUGGAAUUUUGGCAUGAAAUUUAGUAGUUUCUUAUCAAGUUAGCUGUGUACUCUCAGGUGACAGAACUCCUCCUUAGAGGUGUUUACCCAAACGAUACGGAAGCCUGUGAUCACACAAAAGCCAAACACACAAAUGUUUACACAGCUUCUAUCGUCUUGCCCCAAACUGGAAAGAAGCCCAAAAGCCCUCAGCUGGGAAGAGCUAAAUAUAUGAGGUCAUUUUAAUGUAGUCUUGUACUUUAUCUGUGGGACAAUCAGUUAAGUUUCAUUUCUGAAGGCACUCUCAGCUGUUCAGACAGCUGGAAUAUGACCUCCACAUCUGGAAGGACUAUGUCCUGAGAACACUGACUACCCUAGAAAGGUCUGAAGGGAGAUUUGAUUUGUUGAAAAGACACUGACCACAGGGAGCCAUCUCUCUGAGAUUUAGUCUAAUGCAAUUCCAGAGACGAUGACGGUCCAUGAAGUGGUGGUUCAUAGCAAGUCUAUCUUGGCCCCUCGUCGCAUUUGAAGCAUCCCACAAGCCUUGGUAUGAAAUGAACAGAGAACGUGGCAAUAGCCACAGCUAUGAAAGUAUUCAGGAAGAGAAGUGACAGCCACAAGCCGGGAAUGCCGCAGCAAAGUCGGAUGCACACGUUGGGGAGGCGAUGAGUCAGAUUCCUCUCCACUGCUCACUCCCCUGCUGACUGUGGAGCUCGUACUGGGUUCUAAUGCUGACUCUGGAGUGGAACUCACUACUCCUCUUCAAAACUUGCUCCAGACAGAUUUUCUCAUAGUCUUAUUGGGAAGGAAGGAAACUAAACGUUUUGUUCUUGUCCUCCUGAUGUUUUUCAUGUGUGUGCCUAGUCCUUGGAAUACAAGGGACUCUAAGAGAUGGAGAGGGUAGCUUGGAUAACUUAAGCAGGACUUCACAAAUGCUACCCAGGUCCUCUCAUGCCCAAAUCCUGUCAGUGGAAUAAAGUAGCUACCAGCUGAGAUGUCAUAGGCCAGAAACGAUGCCAACCAAAAUUGACAUCAGGCUGAGCAUGGUGGCACAUGCUCAUAAUCCCAGAACUCUGAAGGCUAAGGCAGAAGAUCACUGGUUCAAGGCCAGCUUAGGCUAACAAACUGAGAACAUCUCUGAAAGCCAAAAGAGAGAAGAAAGAAAAGAUCACAUCUUAGUGAACAAAUCAAAAUAUUCUGAGUGCUUUAAGAGUGGGGCAGCGGAAGUUGACGGACGUUGUUAGAGAUCAAGGGAGGGAACCGAAGCAAUAGUACAGAGGGAGAAAUCAUACAGUGGAGGGAAAUGAAGGUAGAGGUGAUCAUUUUCACUGUGUCCGUGUAUGAAAUUCUCUAGAAUAAAAUGUUGACAAAGAGACGAGUGGAAGGGGGAGAAAGAAGAGAUUAUGGGAAGGCGAAUACGGUCAAAGCACUUGGAGGAAA